GCCAUAUAGUUUCAAGUUAAAGAAAAGUUGUCGUUGAAAAAUGCUUACUUUAUCGUUAUCACGGAUGUUUUGGAUGAAUUACAUCGGUUGCUCGGGCUAACUUCAUUCAUUUGCAUAAAAUGUCUGCGACUGAUGAGUACUGUUGCUAGGCGUUACAAAGAGAGAAGUUCCGGAAGAGCUGCCUACAAAAGAAAGAAACCCAGCAACUGGUACUCGCCGGUCCAAAGAACCAGCGAUCUGAGAGGACAGCUGAAAAGUUCUAGCGAAACAGAAAGAAUGGGUGACAAAACAAGUGAGCAAACUGACAAAGCCGCAACUUCAGGCAGCAAUUAGUGUGCCAGAGAGUGUGACAAAGCCAGUGCGUGUGCUGCUUGUUUUAGCAGUCCCGGGCAAUCAACCUGGAGAUGGUGCCCACGAGACCGAGAAAAGGAUUAAACUCCACGCUGGUAUGUGUGCGGCAACUGCCGGGACAUGCCAACACAAAGAGAAAGAGUUUUUGGGAAGUUCGUCUUUCUUAUACUGCUUUUAAAAUCUUAUCGAAACUAAAAUUCAACAUGUAUCUAAGACACUAGUGUAACUAAACGUUAAGUAAAGUAGUUAUAGAUAAACAAUUUUAUUAAAUGUCAUGUGUCAUUAGAAAAUACUUGUACAUUAUUUAAUACUGCUGGUCAGUUCUUGAGAUAUUUACUGAGAAAUGGAUAUCUGAUAACUCAUUUUCUACUGAUUACUGCUAACGUAGUCUUGUGAAGUUUCAAAGAACAGCAUUCUGAGUAUCAUCAUAAGGCUUUAAAUAUCUUAACAUGCAUGUAGUCACACACAGAUAGAACAAAUUGAAUUGUUGGACGAUAUGAAAUAUGGGCAGUUUUCUUGUAUUAAACAGUUGUAAGAUAUUUUAAAUGCUGGCACAGUUUGUCUCUAUACCAAGUAAUUAAAAAUACCGAUACUAUUGUUAAGGUGAGUACUGAGUAUUGCUGAGUACUUGCUUGAAAAUUUGUACUGAAGUAAGAAUGAUGUUAAUUCGCUCAUCCCUGAAUAUUUCUUAUUUAAAAUCUUAGCCUAAGUAUCUUCGAUUAAUGCCAGUGUCUUAUGAUAUACCUUUCCUCUAAAAAGGACUUUGACCUCCUUGUUUUGAACAAGGGGGUUCUAGCCCUAACCCGUUUGAUAAGGCGAGAUAUCCUCAUGUUCACUGAAGGGGAGGACCUGCGAUGAUCCAACCACCAUCAGGCUCACAGAUAAUUUAUAUUGUUGACGCAUGGUUAUUUUGGGGCUGGUGACAGGAGAGAAUUCCCUCAUGUGGUGUAUGGAGAAUCCGGGAAAAUUUCCCUGAUCCAAAUGGACAAAGCACAGGCUUUGUGCCAGGUCGGGUUCAGUCGAUGAACACAACUACUGCAUAAACUAUCAAGGAUCUCUAAUCAUUUUUAAAAUGUUAAAGUAAAAUGAUAUUAAAACAUAAUGACCAUGUCAUGUUUAUGUAUAUUAUUGUAUAUGACUUGUUUUCCAAAUACAAAUUUGAACUGUC